rnacentral:lncRNA from 12 species
GAAAAAAUGUCCCCCCUUGAAGGUUUAACUCACUGGUACUGAGGCUUUAACCCCAGGGUUAAUCCCUGUGCAGAGGUGACUUCCAGCCAUCCACGAUCAUGGCAACUCAGCCAGAUCCGGCUGCAGCUCAGGCGUCGCGCGGAUCAUCCCUGCGGCUCUCGCACUGCGCAGGGAUCCUGCCG